rnacentral:rRNA from 1 species
AAAAUAACGGUCCCCAUUAAGCCUGAGACGCGAUGCCGAGCCGAUUCAGGCGAAGUCACUGAUUCCAUGCUGCCUAGAAAAGCCACUAGUUAGUUGGCACGGUGCCCGUACCCCAAACCAACACAGGUGGGCGGGUAGAGAAUACCAAGGCGAUCGGGAGAACUGUGGUUAAGGAACUCGGCAAAAUCCCUCCGUAACUUCGGGAGAAGGAGGACCCCAUUAGCGUGAACACCCUUGCGGUGCGAGCGUGAAGGGGUGGCACAGACCAGGGGAAAGCGACUGUUUACUAAAAACACAGCAGCGUGCGAAGUCGCAAGACGAUGUAUACGCUGUGACGCCUGCCCGGUGCCGGAAGGUUACGGGGAAGGGUUAGUCCGCAAGGACGAAGCUCUGAACCUAAGCCCCGGUAAACGGCGGCCGUAACUAUAACGGUCCUAAGGUAGCGAAAUUCCUUGUCGGGUAAGUUCCGACCUGCACGAAUGGCGUAACGACUUUCCUACUGUCUCAACCACAGACCCGGCGAAAUUGAAGUACGAGUAAAGAUGCUCGUUAGCUGCAGAAGGACGGUAAGACCCCGUGGACCUUUACUAUAACUUGGUGUUGGGUUCGGGUAUGCGCUGUGUAGGAUAGGUGGGAGACUUGGAAGCAUUGGCGCCAGCCAGUGUGGAGUCACUGUUGAAAUACCACCCUGCGUAUGCCGGAGCUCUAACCUCGACCCGUUAUCCGGGUUAGGGACAGCGCCAGGCGGGUAGUUUGACUGGGGCGGUCGCCUCCUAAAGAGUAACGGAGGCGCCCAAAGGUUCCCUCAGCCUGGUCGGCCAUCAGGCGUUGAGUGCAAUGGCACAAGGGAGCUUGACUGCGAGACCUACAAGUCAAGCAGGUGCGAAAGCAGGGCAUAGUGAUCCGGCGGUUGCGUGUGGAAGCGCCGUCGCUCAACGGAUAAAAGGUACCCCGGGGAUAACAGGCUCAUCUUCCCCAAGAGUCCAUAUCGACGGGAUGGUUUGGCACCUCGAUGUCGGCUCAUCGCAUCCUGGGGCUGAAGCAGGUCCCAAGGGUUGGGCUGUUCGCCCCUUAAAGCGGUACGCGAGCUGGGUCUAGAACGUCGUGAGACAGUUCGGUCCCUAUCCUCUGCAGCCGGAGGAAACUUGAGAAAGCCUGUCCCUAGUACGAGAGGACCGGGACGGACGCAGCUCUGGUGUGCCAGUUGUCCUGCCAAGGGCACGGCUGGUUAGCCACCUGCGGAAGAGAUAAGCGCUGAAAGCAUCUAAGCGCGAAGCUUGUUUCAAGAUGAGGUUUCCCACAGGGUUAACCUGGUAAGGCCCGUGGCCAGACGACCACGUUGAUAGGCCGGAGGUGUAAGCGUGGCAACACGUUCAGCCGACCGGUACUAAUCGGCCGAGGGCUUGGACC